UUAACACAUGCAAGUCGAGCGGCAGCGGACCCUUCGGGGUGCGGAGAGGGGCGGACGGGUGAGUAAUGCAUGGGAAUCUGCCCGGUAGUGGGGGAUAACCCGGGGAAACCCGGGCUAAUACCGCAUACCUCCCACGGGAGAAAGCAGGGGAUCUUCGGACCUUGCGCUAUCGGAUGAGCCCAUGUCGGAUUAGCUUGCUGGUGAGGUAACGGCUCACCAGGGCUGCGAUCCGUAGCUGGUUUGAGAGAAUGAUCAGCCACACCGGGACUGAGACACGGCCCGGACUCCUACGGGAGGCAGCAGUGGGGAAUAUUGGACAAUGGGCGAAAGCCUGAUCCAGCCAUGCCGCGUGUGUGAAGAAGGCCCUCGGGUUGUAAAGCACUUUCAGCGGGGAAGAAGGCGUGGCGGUUAAUACCCGCCACGAAGGACAUCACCCGCAGAAGAAGCACCGGCUAACUCCGUGCCAGCAGCCGCGGUAAUACGGAGGGUGCAAGCGUUAAUCGGAAUUACUGGGCGUAAAGGGCGCGUAGGCGGCCUGUCACGCCGGGUGUGAAAGCCCCGGGCUCAACCCGGGAACGGCAUCCGGAACGGGCAGGCUCGAGUGCAGGAGAGGAAGGUAGAAUUCCCGGUGUAGCGGUGAAAUGCGUAGAGAUCGGGAGGAAUACCAGUGGCGAAGGCGGCCUUCUGGACUGACACUGACGCUGAGGCGCGAAAGCAUGGGUAGCAAACAGGAUUAGAUACCCUGGUAGUCCAUGCCGUAAACGAUGUCGACCAGCCGUUGGCCUCCUCGAGAGGCUGGUGGCGCAGUUAACGCGCUAAGUCGACCGCCUGGGGGAGUACGGCCGCAAGGCUAAAACUCAAUGAAUUGACGGGGGCCCGCACAAGCGGGUGGAGCAUGUGGGUUUAAUUCGAUGCAACGCGGAAGAACCCUUACCUGCCCUUUGACAUCCCGGGAAAUCCGGCCGGAGACGGGCGGAGUUGCCCUUUCGGGAAACCCCGGAGAACAGGG
rnacentral:rRNA from 1 species